UGCAGUCGACGGUGAAGCAGAGCUUGCUCUGUGGAUCAGUGGCGAACGGGUGAGUAACACGUGAGCAAUCUGCCCCUGACUCUGGGAUAAGCGCUGGAAACGGCGUCUAAUACCGGAUACGAGCUGCGACCGCAUGGUCAGUAGCUGGAAAGAAUUUCGGUCAGGGAUGAGCUCGCGGCCUAUCAGCUUGUUGGUGAGGUAAUGGCUCACCAAGGCGUCGACGGGUAGCCGGCCUGAGAGGGUGACCGGCCACACUGGGACUGAGACACGGCCCAGACUCCUACGGGAGGCAGCAGUGGGGAAUAUUGCACAAUGGGCGAAAGCCUGAUGCAGCAACGCCGCGUGAGGGAUGACGGCCUUCGGGUUGUAAACCUCUUUUAGCAGGGAAGAAGCGAAAGUGACGGUACCUGCAGAAAAAGCGCCGGCUAACUACGUGCCAGCAGCCGCGGUAAUACGUAGGGCGCAAGCGUUAUCCGGAAUUAUUGGGCGUAAAGAGCUCGUAGGCGGUCUGUCGCGUCUGCUGUGAAAACCCGAGGCUCAACCUCGGGCCUGCAGUGGGUACGGGCAGACUAGAGUGCGGUAGGGGAGAUUGGAAUUCCUGGUGUAGCGGUGGAAUGCGCAGAUAUCAGGAGGAACACCGAUGGCGAAGGCAGAUCUCUGGGCCGUAACUGACGCUGAGGAGCGAAAGGGUGGGGAGCAAACAGGCUUAGAUACCCUGGUAGUCCACCCCGUAAACGUUGGGAACUAGUUGUGGGGUCCAUUCCACGGAUUCCGUGACGCAGCUAACGCAUUAAGUUCCCCGCCUGGGGAGUACGGCCGCAAGGCUAAAACUCAAAGGAAUUGACGGGGACCCGCACAAGCGGCGGAGCAUGCGGAUUAAUUCGAUGCAACGCGAAGAACCUUACCAAGGCUUGACAUAUAGAGGAAACGUCUGGAAACAGUCGCCCCGCAAGGUCUCUAUACAGGUGGUGCAUGGUUGUCGUCAGCUCGUGUCGUGAGAUGUUGGGUUAAGUCCCGCAACGAGCGCAACCCUCGUUCUAUGUUGCCAGCACGUAAUGGUGGGAACUCAUGGGAUACUGCCGGGGUCAACUCGGAGGAAGGUGGGGAUGACGUCAAAUCAUCAUGCCCCUUAUGUCUUGGGCUUCACGCAUGCUACAAUGGCCGGUACAAAGGGCUGCAAUACCGUGAGGUGGAGCGAAUCCCAAAAAGCCGGUCCCAGUUCGGAUUGAGGUCUGCAACUCGACCUCAUGAAGUCGGAGUCGCUAGUAAUCGCAGAUCAGCAACGCUGCGGUGAAUACGUUCCCGGGUCUUGUACACACCGCCCGUCAAGUCAUGAAAGUCGGUAACACCUGAAGCCGGUGGCCCAACCCUUGUGGAGGAGCC
rnacentral:rRNA from 1 species